AUUGAACGCUGGCGGCAUGCUUUACACAUGCAAGUCGAACGGUAACAGGCCGCAAGGUGCUGACGAGUGGCGAACGGGUGAGUAAUGCAUCGGAACGUGCCCAGUCGUGGGGGAUAACGCAGCGAAAGCUGCGCUAAUACCGCAUACGAUCUAUGGAUGAAAGCGGGGGACCGUAAGGCCUCGCGCGAUUGGAGCGGCCGAUGUCGGAUUCGGUAGUUGGUGGGGUAAAGGCUCACCAAGCCAACGAUCUGGAGCUGGUCUGAGAGGACGACCAGCCCCACGGGGACUGAGACACGGACCAGAGUCCUACGGGAGGCAGCAGUGGGGAAUUUUGGACAAUGGGCGCAAGCCUGAUCCAGCAAUGCCGCGUGCAGGAAGAAGGCCUUCGGGUUGUAAACUGCUUUUGUACGGAACGAAACGGUCCUGGUUAAUACCUGGGGCUAAUGACGGUACCGUAAGAAUAAGCACCGGCUAACUACGUGCCAGCCGCCGCAGUAAAAC
rnacentral:rRNA from 1 species